UGUAGAGGUUCAUACACGAACCACCAUCACACUCAACGUCCAACUGUGGCGUAGCUCAGUUCCUUUCCAAUUUGAGUUCACAAUAAAAAAUACAACAAAGAUUUCAAAGGAAAGGGAACAAAAGCUGAGGUCUUCCUUUCUGUGAGCCAACAGAGCACACAAAGCCACACCUGGAGUUACUGCUCUGGAGGGAUUCAGGAGAAAGCCAAGCCCCCAGGGGGGCUCCUCUGAAAUGUAGAUUCUAAUGCGGGAGGCCUGGGCCUGUCACAGGAUUCUGCAUUUUAACCAGCUCCUGUAGUGCCAAAGAUCUGAGUCUGUGUACUGUCCCAUUAGUAGUUGACACCCUACUUUUCAAAUAUUCUUAAGCCACUAAAAUUUAGGUGUCUAAACCAGGCAGUAGGACGUGCUUUCUUCUUUUCUUUUCUUCUCUUUUCUUUUCUGUGAUUUCCUUCUAUCUCAGAGUCAUUCCCCCCACCCGCCCCCCAGGGGGAAUCAGUGGAAUGAGUAGCCUUCACUGUGUUAUUAAAUGACAGCCCAUUGGAGAACUCAUCAAGUAGAGGAGAGCUGGACAAAUUAAGUGUGUAGACUCUUCCUUUCUCCUGCACUUUACAAUAUCCCCUGACUGCAUCCGCCAAGCAAGAAUCAAGAAGCUCCUUCAUCGUAAGGUAGAUUGUCCGAGGGUGCGGGUCUCACAAACACUAGUGCACACCACCCACAAUGGCAUAGUGAG
rnacentral:lncRNA from 1 species